UGGGGAAUAUUGCACAAUGGGCGCAAGCCUGAUGCAGCCAUGCCGCGUGUAUGAAGAAGGCCUUCGGGUUGUAAAGUACUUUCAGCGGGGAGGAAGGCGAUAAGGUUAAUAACCUUGUCGAUUGACGUUACCCGCAGAAGAAGCACCGGCUAACUCCGUGCCAGCAGCCGCGGUAAUACGGAGGGUGCAAGCGUUAAUCGGAAUUACUGGGCGUAAAGCGCACGCAGGCGGUCUGUCAAGUCGGAUGUGAAAUCCCCGGGCUCAACCUGGGAACUGCAUUCGAAACUGGCAGGCUAGAGUCUUGUAGAGGGGGGUAGAAUUCCAGGUGUAGCGGUUAAAUGCGUAGAGAUCUGGAGGAAUACCGGUGGCGAAGGCGGCCCCCUGGACAAAGACUGACGCUCAGGUGCGAAAGCGUGGGGUUCAAACA
rnacentral:rRNA from 1 species